rnacentral:rRNA from 1 species
AUUUGAUUUCCUUCGGGACUGAUUAUUUUGUGACUGAGUGGCGGACGGGUGAGUAACGCGUGGGUAACCUGCCUUGUACAGGGGGAUAACAGUUGGAAACGGCUGCUAAUACCGCAUAAGCGCACGGCAUCGCAUGAUGCAGUGUGAAAAACUCCGGUGGUAUAAGAUGGACCCGCGUUGGAUUAGCUAGUUGGUGAGGUAACGGCCCACCAAGGCGACGAUCCAUAGCCGACCUGAGAGGGUGACCGGCCACAUUGGGACUGAGACACGGCCCAAACUCCUACGGGAGGCAGCAGUGGGGAAUAUUGCACAAUGGGCGAAAGCCUGAUGCAGCGACGCCGCGUGAGCGAAGAAGUAUUUCGGUAUGUAAAGCUCUAUCAGCAGGGAAGAUAAUGACGGUACCUGACUAAGAAGCACCGGCUAAAUACGUGCCAGCAGCCGCGGUAAUACGUAUGGUGCAAGCGUUAUCCGGAUUUACUGGGUGUAAAGGGAGCGCAGGCGGUGCGGCAAGUCUGAUGUGAAAGCCCGGGGCUCAACCCCGGUACUGCAUUGGAAACUGUCGUACUAGAGUGUCGGAGGGGUAAGCGGAAUUCCUAGUGUAGCGGUGAAAUGCGUAGAUAUUAGGAGGAACACCAGUGGCGAAGGCGGCUUACUGGA